UGAGGUAUCGUUAAAUUAUGUUGGUUGCUAGGGAGGUUAUUCAAGAAGAUGCUGAAGGUUCUCUUCAAACUGUGGUUGAUGAGAUUACACAGAGGACCAAGCGAAGAAGGCUCAUGGGAAGGAGUGGAAACAUUCGACUUGGCAUGGUAAGUUCAUAACACUUCUUUAUUGGAGAACUGCUCAUACCUGUUGGUUUUGAAGCUCUGAGUAACAUCACGCCUAAAAGUAUAGACACGUGCACAUAGAUCCAUUGCAUAACAAUUAAAAAAAAAUUUUAAAGCAUUUGAAAGGGUUUGUCAGGUAUGAUUGAGGAUUAUAACAGUCAGUCAAAAUA